GACGAACGCUGGCGGCGUGCCUAAUACAUGCAAGUUGAGCGAUGAAGAUUGGUGCUUGCACGGAUUUGAAGAGCAGAGAACGGGUGAGUAACGCGUGGGGAAUCUGCCUUUGAGCGGGGGACAACAUUUGGAAACGAAUGCUAAUACCGCAUAACAACUUUAAACAUAAGUUUUAAGUUUGAAAGAUGCAAUUGCAUCACUCAAAGAUGAUCCCGCGUUGUAUUAGCUAGUUGGUGAGGUAAAGGCUCACCAAGGCGAUGAUACAUAGCCGACCUGAGAGGGUGAUCGGCCACAUUGGGACUGAGACACGCCCCAUACGCAUACGGGAGGCAGCAGUAGGGAAUCUUCGGCAAUCGACGAAAGUCUGGCCGAGCAACGCCGCGUGAGUGAACACGGUUUUCGGAUCGUAAAACUCUGUUGGUAGAGAAGAACGUUGGUGAGAGUGGAAAGCUCAUCAAGUGACGGUAACUACCCAGAAAGGGACGGCUAACUACGUG
rnacentral:rRNA from 1 species